GCNCUAGGAUGACGCUGGCGGCGUGCCUACACAUGCAAGUCGAGCGAUUUUCUUCGGAAGAGAGCGGCGGACGGGUGAGUAACGCGUGGGUAACCUGCCCUGUACACACGGAUAACAUACCGAAAGGUAUGCUAAUACGGGAUAACAUAUUUUUAUCGCAUGGUAAAAAUAUCAAAGCUCCGGCGGUACAGGAUGGACCCGCGUCUGAUUAGCUAGUUGGUAAGGUAACGGCUUACCAAGGCGACGAUCAGUAGCCGACCUGAGAGGGUGAUCGGCCACAUUGGAACUGAGACACGGUCCAAACUCCUACGGAGGCAGCAGUGGGGAAUAUUGCACCAUGGGCGAAAGCCUGAUGCAGCAACGCCGCGUGAGCGAUGAAGGCCUUCGGGUCGUAAGCUCUGUCUUCAAGGAAAAUAAUUACGGUAUUUAGGAAGAAGCCCCGGGUAAACACGUGCCCGCAACCGCGGUAAUACGUAGGGGGGUAGCGUUAUCCGGAAUUACUGGGCGUAAAGGGUGCGUAAGGGGUUUCUAAAUCAAAAAUUGAAAAGGUACGGGUCCACCCGAAAUAAAGCUUUUUUAAACUAAAAAACUUGAGUGCCGGGAAAGGAGAAGAAAAAUUCCUAAUGGUAACGGUGAAAAUGGCUAAAAAAUUAAGGAAGGAAAAACCAUUUGCGAAAGGGGGGUUCUCUUGGGAUUGGAAUCGGACACUUUAAGGACCGAAAACGUGGGGGGGCAAACAAGAUAUUAUAUAAUCCUGGGGUAGUCCCCCCCCGCAAACCAAGAGAAACUCACUGGUCGGGGGGGUACCCCCCCNCGGGGGGGGCACCUACACCUUUAAAUACUCCCCCCUGGGGAAAUACCCUCCCCAGAGGGGAACACCUCAAGGAAUUUGCGGGGGACCCCCCCCACUUGCCGAGGCCUGGUGGGGUUAUUUUUAAACA
rnacentral:rRNA from 1 species